AACUACCAGAAAGGGAAGAAACUAAAAGGACAGGUCUACAGCUUGGGAACACUUGGUGCGUGGCCCCGCCUACAUAGGAAGGCAUGUUGGGAAUCCGUUGAGGUCUUGUCUCUGCUCCUGAAGAGCUCACUGGUAUCCUUUUUGGGACUUUCUUCUUGUGAGGCUUCCGCAGUGGAGACCGUCUUUUCUGUAACUCCUGGGGAGCGAGAAGAUCCCGGUGGACCAGUUGCGGGUGCACAAGAGGAAGUCUCCCCACCUUGGGGCUCCCACCCCCUGAGGGACCACAGUCUGGCCCAAGCAGAGACCCUGGAGCCAGAGGGAAUGGCCCCCGGGACCCAGAGGCGCCCUUCCCAGUUGUUGGCCAGUCGUUGUGAAUGUACUAUGUGCUGCUAAAAAAGAAGGUAUUCUUUUUUGUCCCUUUUUAUUUUUCUCCAUACAAUUAUUAAUGCUAAUUUUUCCUAAGAUUUCAUUCACAUCUCUUACCUCUCUCUUAUUUAUUUCUUGGUUUGAUUUAUCUAGAUUUGAUAGAGGAAGGCUUGGGUCUCCCACUUGUGAAUCUUGAAAUUUCUCAGACUUGUGAAUGUUAAAAAAAUUCCCAGUCCCUACUUCAUAAGGUUGGGUUAAGACCAUUCCCCAUUGGGACCAAUUCCCCAUUUGGGCAGUGAAAGUAACUUAGAUCAGGAAUGUGAGAACUCUACUUCACCAUACUUAAGCAUGCCUUAGGGGAAGAUAAAGUUGUAAACUCUUUGCUGAACAAUGAAAAAAUACUUAAACCCAUAUUUAUAGUAAGACAGAAAAGUUCUUAAGCCAUACCUAUUUUUGAAUAUAAUACAAAAAGGUGCUAAGUACCUAUAAAGGUCAGGCAACUUGUGAACUUACAAGGAGCAAAGAGGUGAAAACUUACUCAGAGAUUCUAGUCUAUUCAGGUGUGAAUUACUCAAAAGAUUAGUCUACUUAGGUGUGAACUAAGAAUGAUCUGUUCUUUGAAAAAUGUCUACUGUGAUUGGUAGAUGGGAAAACUUAGGGGAGCUUACAUAGGAGAAAAUUCCCUUUAUAAGGAGAUGACAGUCUCCUAAUGAGGACAGUCUGUUGAAAAGCAGUCUGUUGAAAAACAGUGUCUUGAGACAGUCUCUUGAAGACAGUCUGAGGGAGGCUGACUCUGGCUGGAACUCCCUCUGAGGAGACUCUGUCCCUCUGAAUCCUUGCUUGGACAAAUCUUGUGGUGAGUAAUAAAAGACUGACUGAUCUUUCUCUUAAGGCUUUG
rnacentral:lncRNA from 1 species